rnacentral:lncRNA from 1 species
AGGCUGUGCAGAAGAUCACGGCUGUGCCCUGUGGUGCUGUCAGCAGUGACAGAUCCCAGAUGGGGCCCGCUACUGUAUGGCAGAUUGAGUUUCUCAACAGAAAACUCACCCUUCCUCCUAAACGUCUUCAAAAACCUUCUCCGGAUACUCCAUUCAUCCAGCCAGCUUAGUUCUUUGGAGAAGCAGUGUGGAGUCCUAAAAAAGGAGGCUGAGUCUUACCGUUGAGGUCGGUGCCGGUAGAGAAUGGGAGGGAGUCUGCAGGAGCCAAGCACCCUAAAGAAGAGGAAGAGAGCACGUUGCUGAGAUUUGAACAGCGACCUGAGAGGUCAGACUGGACCCAGGCCUCCUCAAGGUUUUUAGGUUUUUGCCUGUUGCUCUUAGGGAUCCAGGGGCAGAGUUUUGCCUUAGGUGCUGAAGACAGCUGCUGGAGCCUGUUGCUUUUUCACACCACAGAUACUUCAUGCUGCCUAAUAUUCUACCGAGCCAGCCUAGGGGACUUGGAUCUGUCUCGCCUGGGGCUAAGAGAAUAGUUUCUCUAAGAAGAAAACAGUUCUAAUUCAAAGAUGCUGGAUCUGGCUUCCUUUAAAGCCUGAAGUCGC